GUGCGCGCGAGCGGCCAGCAGAGGGCGCCAGAGAGCCAGGAGCGGCCUGCGGAGGAGCCCGCGCCGGCACCGAUUCCCAGCUCCGCGCCACGCGGACCCACCGAGCUCGCGCUCAGACGCCCCAGCUCCGCCGAGAGGCCGCUCGCGCCGGGUCCUUCCUCUUCCCCAAGUGCAGGCCGAGCCUCCGCAGCCACGGCCAGCCCUUCGGGCAGCUCCAAAGCCACUGGCAAGCCCCGAGGCAGGGAUGGCCGGCCCAGGAGGGAGGAGGACGACGUCCCUCCCUAGGAGAAGAACUGCGGCUGUUGCUGGAGGGGGGAAGCGCACAGCCCGACGACUGCGAGGACGGGGAGGACGCGCUGAGGUCAGGCAGGGAGGAGACCGGCACCCAGACAGGUGGCGACGGCAGAGGAGGUAUCUCAAACUCCUGCCCUUAAAACACCUGCAAGAGAAUCAUCCAGGCGGCUUGCUCACUCUGCAUGCAGACCCUUUAGAAUCAGAGUCAGAAUCACUGGGGCUGGAGCCACAAAAUGAAAUGACAUUUCAACAAGUUUGUCAUCACGUAAGAGAGAAUAG
rnacentral:lncRNA from 1 species